rnacentral:misc_RNA from 1 species
GCCAAACAGAGGACAGAAUGGGCCUUGGUAUGGCUAAGCUUAUUCCCUUCUUCAUCUUCCUCACCUGUCUGUUCGGAUAUGGGAAUUCUGAUAGCAAAUUGCCCAAGGAUGAAGGUACUUAUAAUUUAUUUCUUUUUCUUUUAAAUUUUCUUAAAAUUAUUCUUGUUGUUUAUUAACUUCAUAUUAGUAAUUUAAAUUUGCUUCAAUAAUUUUUGAAGUUUGAGAAUUAUAAUUUGUAAGAUGGUAAAACUGUGUGCAUGCAUGCUUUCCUUUUUUUUAUUUUUCUAUAUAUUUCACACAAUCCAUUUUAUGGAAUCCUUCAUUUUCCAGCUGAAUUGACUGGUUCAUGGUUAUCUCAGAAAAUUUUCUUUUAAUUGAUAAAUAAAAGAAUCACGCUUUAAAAUAGAUUUUUGUUCUAUGAACUUGUUUUGGGUCUGUAUUUGGCAUGAUAAGUCCAAAGAAAACAAGCCAACGAGUUCGAUAUAACUACUGAUUUUUUUUUUCAUUUUCUAAAAUUCAGAAACUAUUUUUGCUUUUUAUUGUCAGUUCCCUUAAAAACUAUUUUAUUAGCAAGUAAUAAAUAUGUACAGCAACAUCAAACAUUCCAAGGACACAAGUUGAUUCUCAAAAGAAAACGUUGUCGUUUCCUUCGCUUUUCUUCUCUUUUCUUACUCUACUUACUACCCCUGCUCCCACUCCCCCUCGCCUGCCACCAGAUUUUCCAGUUGUCUUGGUCGGGCUUCCUCCCACACGACCCCGUACCAAACAAUUGGAUAUCGUUCGCAUUGCUGGUGACCUUGAUCGCCGGCCUGACCACUCCCUUGGAUCCUUUCUACUGGAUGCUUUUUGCUUUUGUUGUCUUGGCUUUUAGGAUAGUGGACGAUGGGGAUUCAGGUGCUUUUCUGCUGUCUUGAUUGAUUCGUUUGUGGUAAGUUUGGGAUGGUUGUUUCAGAGAGGACUUCUUUGAUUGUUUCUCCUUCAAGUGAAGCAGGUGGUGGGGUUAUGGCAACAUGAGAUUUCUUGACUUCUUGGGUUUUGGUGCUGGAGGUUUUGGAGGAGAACUGUGGUGAUCUUGGGCUUUCCGUUGAUGUGGCUCUCUUUCGGCUCUACAGCUCAUUCGCGAGAAUAUGGCUUUUAGUAAAGAGUACUGUAGUAGAUGUGAGAGUUAAGUGACAGAGAA